rnacentral:tRNA from 1 species
UCCCUGGUGGCUCAGAUGGUAAAGCGUCUGCCUGCAAUGCAGGAGACCCAGGUUCGAUCCCUGGGUCGGGAA